GCAGCCCCAGCUGGUGGCCCUGAGCCUCUACCGCCAGUUCUGCAAGCACCAGGAGCGGGAGACGCUGAAGGACCUGUACAACCAGGAUGAUAAUCACCAGGAGCUCGGCAACUUCCACGUGCACGCCAGCUACGCCGAGAAGCGCAUCGAGGGCAGGGUGGGGGCUCUGCAGAACGCGCAGGACGCCUACUACAAAGCCAAGAACGAGUUUGCUGCCAAGGCCACCGAGGAGCAGGUGAAGCUGCUGCGGC